rnacentral:rRNA from 1 species
GGGUCAAUGAGUGGGUUUCCGGCACACCGGAAACUCCGGAUCCAAGAGGACCAACCGGUCGUCACGAAGACAAGGCUUGGGACUUGGGGUGGCGGCGGCGGCGGCGGGAGGAGAAGGCAGUCGGAGCGGCGCCUCGUCGCAGUAACCGCCGCCUCCGGCACAUUUGGGUAUUUCAAGACAAAACUCACGUGUAACUUGAAAUACCUGUAUAGACUCCUCGUUGUUGUUCUAAAACCACACGAUGAUUUCGUCCCCCGACUUCCUUCCCAUAAACAAAGCUGUAAACAACCUGCUUUUACGCAUUAGUUUCUCGCAAAAAGUUUCUUCAUAGCUGUGGGUCACGACCUGAGUUUCAACUGAGAUUUUGCGAAUUUACGACUUCGAUCUACGUACUGUUUUCGUUCUGCCGAACCACAAGGAUGUGGUCAAGACAUACGACACCUGGGAGAAGGUGUAUGUAAUUGGAAACUCAUACACCUACCGAACACGCAGUUUCUAUAAGAAGAACCUAAACCCAGUUUACCCUAUUUACUUCUUGCAGAAUUACUAUAACGGUGUGUCUAUCCCUUACGUCAACCGUUUGAUGUGCUACCUCCAGAACAAGUACCACUAAACUGUUGAAGUUUAUACUACUAGUUCUUGUCGUGGUUAGUUGACCAAGAAUAACUAAAACCAGACUCGAAAUGUAGUUGAUAAGGUCUCCUGUUCCGUCACCUGGAGAUACAGGAACUCUCUCGAAAUUAAAGGUACGUAAGAAGUACACCCCUACACUACCUCUUCUAGGAGCGACGCAUGGCUUUUCGUAGUUCCGUCACCACACGGUGAUGCUUGUUCGAUCGAGUUCAGUCCGUCGCCCCGUCUUUCGCUUGUUACCAACCCAUUUUGAACUGGGCGUCAACGACUUACGAUGCUUAACUUGAACGUAGUGGUAGGUAACACACACAAUAUCGCCAAGUCGCCUUAACCGAGAACGUCUUAACUUUACCUACAGUUCACUUAGUAAACAUUGUGACGAACAACAUGAAGGCAAUCCUUAGUAUAUAGAGGGUUGAGAAAAUUGAACACUCAAAACCUACUAGCAACACAUAGAAUCACUUGACUAUGUAAAUGAAACAACGCCACGUAGACC